rnacentral:Y_RNA from 1 species
GGCUGGUCCGAGUGCAGUGGUGUUUACAACUAAUUGAUCACAACCAGUUACAGAUUUCUUUGUUUCUUCUCCACUCCCACUGCUUCACAUAACCAGCCUUAA